rnacentral:rRNA from 1 species
GACGAACGCUGGCGGCGUGCCUAAUACAUGCAAGUAGAACGCUGAAGGAGGAGCUUGCUUCUCCGGAUGAGUUGCGAACGGGUGAGUAACGCGUAGGUAACCUGCCUGGUAGCGGGGGAAAACUAUUGGAAACGAUAGCUAAUACCGCAUAAUAGUAGAUGUUGCAUGACAUUUGCUUAAAAGGUGCAAUUGCAUCACUACCAGAUGGACCUGCGUUGUAUUAGCUAGUUGGUGGGGUAACGGCUCACCAAGGCGACGAUACAUAGCCGACCUGAGAGGGUGAUCGGCCACACUGGGACUGAGACACGGCCCAGACUCCUACGAGAGGCAGCAGUAGGGAAUCUUCGGCAAUGGACGGAAGUCUGACCGAGCAACGCCGCGUGAGUGAAGAAGGUUUUCGGAUCGUAAAAGCUCUGUGUAAAGAGAAAGAAACGAGUGUGAGAAGUGAAAAGUUCCACCACUG